rnacentral:rRNA from 1 species
UACGGAGGAUGCAAGCGUUAUCCGGAAUGAUUGGGCGUAAAGCGUCCGCAGGUGGCUAUGUAAGUCUGCUGUUAAAGAGCAAAGCUUAACUUUGUAAAAGCAGUGGAAACUACAUAGCUAGAGUGCGUUCGGGGCAGAGGGAAUUCCUGGUGUAGCGGUGAAAUGCGUAGAUAUCAGGAAGAACACCGGUGGCGAAAGCGCUCUGCUAGGCCGCAACUGACACUGAGGGACGAAAGCUAGGGGAGCGAAUGGG